AUUGAACGCUGGCGGCAGGCUUAACACAUGCAAGUCGAGCGGAGACUUCGGUCUUAGCGGCGAACGGGUGAGUAAUACCUAGGAAUCUGCCUAUUAGUGGGGGAUAACGAAUCGAAAGGUUCGCUAAUACCGCAUACGUCCUACGGGAGAAAGGGGGGGAUCUUCGGACCUCUCGCUAAUAGAUGAGCCUAGGCCGGAUUAGCUAGUUGGUAGGGUAAAGGCCUACCAAGGCGACGAUCUGUAGCUGGUCUGAGAGGAUGGCCAGCCACACUGGAACUGAGACACGGUCCAGACUCCUACGGGAGGCAGCAGUGGGGAAUAUUGGACAAUGGGCGCAAGCCUGAUCCAGCCAUCCCGCGUGAAGGAUGAAGGUCCUCUGGAUUGUAAACUUCUUUUCUUCGGGAAUAAAAACUGGGGUUCUCCUCAGCUUGAAGGUACCGAAGGAAUAAGCACCGGCUAACUCCGUG
rnacentral:rRNA from 1 species